rnacentral:rRNA from 1 species
UACGGGGGGGGGCAAGCGUUUGUUCGGAAUUACUGGGCGUAAAGGGCUCGUAGGCGGCCAACUAAGUCAGACGUGAAAUCCCUCGGCUUAACCGGGGAACUGCGUCUGAUACUGGAUGGCUAGAGGUUGGGAGAGGGAUGCGGAAUUCCAGGUGUAGCGGUGAAAUGCGUAGAUAUCUGGAGGAAUACCGGUGGCGAAGGCGGCAUCCUGGACCGGCAUUAACGCUGAGGAGCGAAAGCUAGGGGAGCAAACGGG